rnacentral:lncRNA from 1 species
GAGCUGCCAUGUACUAGGCCACGUGGCAAGGGCCUGGUUGGGGACCUCCAGGGGUUGAGAGCAUCCUCUGGACAACAUGGAAAAAGAAAAUGAAAAUGGUGACCUCAGCCCUAUAGCUAGAAGGAAUUGAAUCCUGUCAACAACGAUACUCAUCACUCACUGCAGAUGUUACUUUAAGACAUUCUGGAGCAGCGUCAUGUGCAGGUGCGUAGUGCCUCCGCCCAUCUCUCUCUUGCUCCUGGUCUCAUCGUGACGGGCCUGGUCCUGCCUCACUUUAUGCCACGACUAAGAGCUCCCUGAGGCCUCUCCAGAAGCAGAUAUCACUAUGCUUCCUACACAGCCUGCAGAACCGAACAAUAAGGAAGUGAGUGCUUUUGUAAUUCCUGAACAACUGUGUCUUACACUUACUAAGGGAUUCAUGGGCAAUAUGACUGAAUAGGAACAGCUCCAGUCUGAAGCUCCCAGUGAGACCAACAUAGAAGAAAAACCUGGUGGUAUGGACUUCCAGCUCAAUAAUUCACUGUAAAGGCAAUCUGGGUGUUAUGAAAGAUGUAGACCAACAGAAACACUCAUACCUUUCUGGUGACAAUAAAACUUUGUACAUUUA